rnacentral:rRNA from 1 species
AACGAACGCUGGCGGCAUGCCUAACACAUGCAAGUCGAACGAGACCUUCGGGUCCAGUGGCGCACGGGUGCGUAACGCGUGGGAACCUGCCCUUAGGUUCGGAAUAACUCCCCGAAAGGGGUGCUAAUACCGGAUAAUGUCUUCGGACCAAAGAUUUAUCGCCUUUGGAUGGGCCCGCGUUGGAUUAGCUAGUUGGUAGGGUAAAAGCCUACCAAGGCGACGAUCCAUAGCUGGUCUGAGAGGAUGAUCAGCCACACUGGGACUGAGACACGGCCCAGACUCCUACGGGAGGAAGCAGUGGGGAAUAUUGGACAAUGGGCGAAAGCCUGAUCCAGCAAUGCCGCGUGAGUGAUGAAGGCCUUAGGGUUGUAAAGCUCUUUUACCCGGGAUGAUAAUGACAGUACCGGGAGAAUAAGCUCCGGCUAACUCCGUG